AUACGAAACAAUAACAUAACGACUUUGUCAACUGGUGUGCCCACAUACUGGCCAACUGAUAGUCGAAAAAUUCCAGAUUUGAUUGAUUUCAUAGUAUUCUCUGGAAUCCCACAAUCACACAUGCGAGUAAUGGAGAGCUUUGACCUUAACUCAGAUCAUUCUCCAAUAAUAGCAACUUACAGCACAAUAGCCCAUAUGUUGGAAAAGUCCUAUAAAGUAAUAACAGCCUCUACAGACAUUAACGCAUUUAAAAGCCAUUUAGAUUCAGCUAUAAGCCUGGACAUUCCGUUAAAAACAGGAGAGGAGAUAGACUAUGCUGUGGAGCUUUUCACAAAUACAAUUCAUAAUGCGAGCUACAGAAACACGAAUCAUGCUCUUAAUCAUCAACAACCAAACCAAUUGAACCUUUCAACCGAUCUUCGACAAAAAAUACAAAAUAAAAGGAAUCUGCGAAAACGCUGGCAAGAAACUCACUACCCUGCUGACAAAAGAUUAUACAACAAGGCUGCAUCUGAGCUUAGACAACUGCUGUCGAACUUACGCAAUGAAUCUCUAGCUGCGCAUCUGAGAAACUUAGACCAUAAUUCAAGCAACAAUGAAUACAACCUAUGGAGGGCGACUAAAUACCUAAAGAAACCAGAUAAAAGAAACAUAAAUAUUCGCAA
rnacentral:lncRNA from 1 species